rnacentral:rRNA from 1 species
GAUCAUGGCUCAGGAUGAACGCUAGCUACAGGCUUAACACAUGCAAGUCGAUGGGAAACGACAUCGAAAGCUUGCUUUUGAUGGGCGUCGACCGGCGCACGGGUGAGUAACGCGUAUCCAACCUGCCUACCACUUGGGGAUAACCUUGCGAAAGUAAGACUAAUACCCAAUGACAUCCCACGAAGACAUCUGAAUGGGAUUAAAGAUUUAUCGGUAAUGGAUGGGGAUGCGU